UACGUAGGUGGCAAGCGUUGUCCGGAUUUACUGGGCGUAAAGAGCGCGCAGGCGGUCGUUCAGAUGCGCGUGUGAAAGCCCCCGGCUCCAAUGGGGAGGGUCGACGCGAUACUGAUCGACUCGAAGGCAGGAGAGGGAGUGGAAUUCCCGGUGUAGUGGUGAAAUGCGCAGAUAUCGGGAGGAACACCAGUGGCGAAGGCGACUUCCUGGCCUGUUCUUGACGCUGAGGCGCGAAAGCUAGGGUAGCAAACGGG
rnacentral:rRNA from 1 species